AGGCCAUAUCACACUGAAACACCGGUUCUCGUACAAUCACCGAAGUUAAGAAACGUCGAGCCUCGUCAGUACCUAGAUGGGUGACCGCUUGGGAAUACCAUGGGCUGUAAG